UUUCCGGUUGAUCCUGCCGGAGGUUACUGCUAUCGGUGUUCGCCUAAGCCAUGCGAGUCAUAUGUUCUUCGUGAACAUGGCGUACUGCUCAGUAACACGUGGAUAACCUGCCCUUGGGUCUGGGAUAACCCCGGGAAACUGGGGAUAAUACCGGAUAACGCAUAUAUGCUGGAAUGCUUUAUGCGUAAAAUGGAUUCGUCUGCCCAAGGAUGGGUCUGCGGCCUAUCAGGUAGUAGUGGGUGUAAUGUACCUACUAGCCUACAACGGGUACGGGUUGUGGGAGCAAGAGCCCGGAGUUGGAUUCUGAGACACGAAUCCAGGCCCUACGGGGCGCAGCAGGCGCGAAAACUUUACAAUGCGGGCAACCGUGAUAAGGGAACCUCGAGUGCCUGUAAAUGCAGGCUGUUCAGGUGCCUAAAACACACCUGAAGAAAGGGCCGGGCAAGACCGGUGCCAGCCGCCGCGGUAAUACCGGCGGCUCGAGUGGUGGCCGCUUUUAUUGGGCUUAAAGCGUUCGUAGCUGGGUUGUUAAGUCUCUUGGGAAAUCUGGCGGCUUAACCGUCAGGCGUCUAAGGGAUACUGGCAAUCUUGGAACCGGGAGAGGUGAGGGGUACUUCGGGGGUAGGAGUGAAAUCCUGUAAUCCUCGAGGGACCACCUGUGGCGAAGGCGCCUCACCAGAACGGCUUCGACAGUGAGGGACGAAAGCUGGGGGAGCAAACCGGAUUAGAUACCCGGGUAGUCCCAGCCGUAAACUAUGCGCGUUAGGUGUAUCGGUGACCACGAGUUACCGAGGUGCCGAAGGGAAACCGUGAAACGUGCCGCCUGGGAAGUACGGUCGCAAGGCUGAAACUUAAAGGAAUUGGCGGGAA
rnacentral:rRNA from 1 species